CGGCGAGUGAAGCGGCAAGAGCUCAAAUUUGAAAGCUGGCUCCUUCGGGGUCCGCAUUGUAAUUUGCAGAGGAUGUUUCGGGAGCGGCUCCCAUCUAAGUGUCCUGGAACGGACCGUCAUAGAGGGUGAGAAUCCCGUAUGGGAUGGGGUGUCCGCGCCCGUGUGAAACUCCUUCGACGAGUCGAGUUGUUUGGGAAUGCAGCUCUAAAUGGGUGGUAAAUUUCAUCUAAAGCUAAAUAUUGGCCGGAGACCGAUAGCGCACAAGUAGAGUGAUCGAAAGAUGAAAAGCACUUUGAAAAGAGAGUUAAAAAGCACGUGAAAUUGUUGAAAGGGAAGCGUUUGCGAUCAGACUCGCCUUCGGGGUUCAGCCUGCCUUCGGGCAGGUGUACUUCCCCGUCGGCGGGCCAGCGUCGGUUUGGGUGGCCGGUCAAAGGCCCUGGGAAUGUAACGCCUCUCGGGGCGUCUUAUAGCCCAGGGUGUCAUGCGGCCUACCCGGACCGAGGAACGCGCUUCGGCUCGGACGCUGGCAUAAUGGUCGUAAACGACCCGUCUUGAAACACGGACCAAGGAGUCUAACAUCUAUGCGAGUGUUCGGGUGUCAAACCCGUGCGCGAAGUGAAAGCGAACGGAGGUGGGAACCCUUUGGGUGCACCAUCGACCGAUCCUGAUGUCUUCGGAUGGAUUUGAGUAAGAGCAUAGCUGUUGGGACCCGAAAGAUGGUGAACUAUGCCUGAAUAGGGCGAAGCCAGAGGAAACUCUGGUGGAGGCUCGCAGCGGUUCUGACGUGCAAAUCGAUCGUCAAAUUUGGGUAUAGGGGCGAAAGACUAAUCGAACCAUCU
rnacentral:rRNA from 1 species